CGCGCUGUGACACCGGCCCGGCCCUCGAUAGCCCCCGAUGGGCUCCACGCUGUGACACCGGCCCGGGCCCGGCCGGCGCCAUCCGGCACCUCCGCCCGCACGGCCGGGGCGGAGCGCGGGGCCGGCCCUCGGCCACGGGGAGGGACGGGCGGAGCGAGCUACAGGGUUUGGUUUCUGCAGCUCACCAAGGCCACAGAGCAGUGACACCAUUUUGGUCCAUGCUUUGUCUGACUCUGGUUGAUUUUCUUGCAACCUGAGCUCAGUGUAAAGCCUCCUUCUCCUUCCAGAGAUGGGAAGUUCACACAAAUCUGCAAAUUCACACAAAUCUGGUAUUGUGAGUGUUCCUGCAAUGAAGUACCAUGGAACAGGACUUUUUUUCAGUCUGGAGAUACAAGACUUGAGAUUCUUGUAAGACCUUGCACUGACAACCAUCCAGCUAAUUCUGAGUGGCCAGUAUCAUCUUCACAAAGAAAUGAUGAUUUCAAGAUGCUUUUUCUCCAGAAUCAGUCAAAAGCUGCUGAAAGGAUUGUUCCAUGCUGGCAAAAUCUCCCAUGGCAAAGUCCAAGAGAAAAUUGAAGGAAGAUCUGCAGUUUUCAGAGUUUUGCAUUCUUGCUUCUGGCUUAUUCAGGAUUUGCCAUGCAGAGUAACCAGUGAGCACCUGCUGUGCUGCCCAGGGGAUGGGCUGCUCCUUGGUUCCUCACACCAGCUCUGACCCACCAUGGUGCUCCUCAAGCCUGGCCCCAAGGAGGGAAGAUGCUUUUGCUCACUGGCAGCAGCAGGAUUUGCUUCUCAGCAGAACUCUCAGUGCUUGCCCAUCCUGGCUGAAGACAGCCAAAUGCAGCAGUUCCAGCUUUCAUCCCUGAGAUCACCUGAGCAUGAACAACCCUUUACUUCACCAUGUCCUGCUUUGUUCCUGCCCUGAACGUUCCACAGCCGGCAGCUCCACAAUCCACUGCCACGUUUGAACCUGGAGCCGCAACAGUUGCGGUUGUGCAACGCCACAUCUGCGAUUGUUCGAUUGUUUGCAGGGCUGGAUUGUUCAGCCCAGCUUUGCAACGACCACCCUCCAGCCAGGUUUUGUGUCCCUAAAAAAUCCCGGCGAGCCUUCCAACUGCAGUCACUUCGCUGUCUUUAAAAAGAUUUUCAGAAGGAUUUUAUAAGUAUUUCAUUCCCAACGAUCUGCACGACCGCAUCUUUCUAGCCACAACCGAGUCGGGUUUUGCCCUGAAAUUGCAUUGCUAACAAGGCGGCCGUUGCUUAUCAGGCGUUUUAUCUGGUUUAUAACCGAGGAGCAGCGAAAGAUUGUGCAAAGAGGGGAGGAAGAGCCCAAAGGACGUGAAGUCUAAGGGUGAGACAAAGGAGCCGCUGGACUCUGGACUUGGGGGAGCUGCACUGUGUGGGGCUGAAAGGCGAUCCCGCAGGACAGGGCGGGCAGGGAAGCAGCAGCAGCGCUAAUCCCGGUCCCCCCAAGUUUCCUCCCGUCCUUUCCCCUCUCAGCGGGCACCCCUUGGCAGAAAGGGGCCAAGGCACGGAGACGGAGCUUACCUGUGCACUUCCUUUUGAAGGUUUCAUAGUCUACCCCUUGGUCUCCAGGGACGAUCGUAGAGCCAUUGUACUUAAACGUCACCCUUCGGGGAGGGAGAAGACAAGGGGAAAAUACAGUGAAAAGUCACCUUUCCGGAUGGGGGGAAGGAAAGGGGAACAACACGUUUAAAGUCACCCUUUGGAAUGGGGGAAGGGAAGGCGAAGAAUACAUCGAACAGUCAGAGUCUUUAGAAAAGGAAAGGAGGAGAUGGGGAAGGCGAAGAAUACAUCGAACAGUCACAGUCUUUAAGAAGGGAAAGGAGGAGAUGGGGAAGAAUAGGCGGUGAAAAACCCAUCCUUUAGGAAGAGAGGAAGAGGAGAAGGGGGCGAGAUCUGUAGAAUUCACCCUUUGGGGAGCGGGGAGAGAGGACAGCGAACCCCAGCGCCCCGCUGCCCGUCCGGGGGGAUGCCGGGGGGCACCUACCAGUUCACCUCGGUGGCAUCGUCCCUGACGAGGUUGUACGCCUCCCUGCACGCCUCCUUGUCGAUUUUGGUGGCCAU